CCUACGGGUGGCAGCAGUGAGGAAUAUUGGUCAAUGGACGAGAGUCUGAACCAGCCAAGUAGCGUGAAGGAUGACUGCCCUAUGGGUUGUAAACUUCUUUUAUAUGGGAAUAAAAUGUUCCACGUGUGGGAUUUUGUAUGUACCAUAUGAAUAAGGAUCGGCUAACUCCGUGCCAGCAGCCGCGGUAAUACGGAGGAUCCGAGCGUUAUCCGGAUUUAUUGGGUUUAAAGGGAGCGUAGGUGGAUUGUUAAGUCAGUUGUGAAAGUUUGCGGCUCAACCGUAAAAUUGCAGGUGAAACUGGCAGUCUUGAGUACAGUAGAGGUGGGCGGAAUUCGUGGUGUAGCGGUGAAAUGCUUAGAUAGCACGAAGAACUCCGAUUGCGAAGGCAGUUCACUGGACUGCAACUGACACUGAGGCUCGAAAGUGUGGGUAUCAAACAGGAUUAGAUACCCGGGUAGUC
rnacentral:rRNA from 1 species